rnacentral:SRP_RNA from 1 species
GACGGGCCUCCCCGCAUAUUGGCAUGGCAAUCUGGUCAGGUCGGGAACGAAGCAGCCAAACCCAUUCACCAGUAGUGCCGGGGGUAUGGCUCGUCCCU